rnacentral:rRNA from 1 species
GUGCCAGCCGCCGCGGUAAUACGUAGGGUGCAAGCGUUAAUCGGAAUUACUGGGCGUAAAGCGUGCGCAGGCGGCCUAUUAAGUCAGAUGUGAAAUCCCCGAGCUCAACUUGGGAACUGCAUUUGAAACUGAUAGGCUAGAGUGUGUCAGAGGGAGGUAGAAUUCCACGUGUAGCAGUGAAAUGCGUAGAGAUGUGGAGGAAUACCAGUGGCGAAGGCGGCCUCCUGGGAUAACACUGACGCUCAUGUACGAAAGCGUGGGGAGCAAACAGGAUUAGAUACCCUGGUAGUCCACGCCCUAAACGAUGUCAACUGGUUGUUGGGUCUUCAUUGACUUAGUAACGAAGCUAACGCGUGAAGUUGACCGCCUGGGGAGUACGGUCGCAAGAUUAAAACUCAAAGAAAUUGGCGG